rnacentral:rRNA from 1 species
CGAAUGCUGACAUAAGUAACGAUAAAGCGGGUGAAAAGCCCGCUCGCCGGAAGACCAAGGGUUCCUGUCCAACGUUAAUCGGGGCAGGGUGAGUCGACCCCUAAGGCGAGGCCGAAAGGCGUAGUCGAUGGGAAACAGGUUAAUAUUCCUGUACUUGGUGUUACUGCGAAGGGGGGACGGAGAAGGCUAUGUUGGCCGGGCGACGGUUGUCCCGGUUUAAGCGUGUAGGCUGGUUUUCCAGGCAAAUCCGGAAAAUCAAGGCUGAGGCGUGAUGACGAGGCACUACGGUGCUGAAGCAACAAAUGCCCUGCUUCCAGGAAAAGCCUCUAAGCAUCAGGUAACAUCAAAUCGUACCCCAAACCGACACAGGUGGUCAGGUAGAGAAUACCAAGGCGCUUGAGAGAACUCGGGUGAAGGAACUAGGCAAAAUGGUGCCGUAACUUCGGGAGAAGGCACGCUGAUAUGUAGGUGAAGCGACUUGCUCGUGGAGCUGAAAUCAGUCGAAGAUACCAGCUGGCUGCAACUGUUUAUUAAAAACACAGCACUGUGCAAACACGAAAGUGGACGUAUACGGUGUGACGCCUGCCCGGUGCCGGAAGGUUAAUUGAUGGGGUUAGCGGUAACGCGAAGCUCUUGAUCGAAGCCCCGGUAAACGGCGGCCGUAACUAUAACGGUCCUAAGGUAGCGAAAUUCCUUGUCGGGUAAGUUCCGACCUGCACGAAUGGCGUAAUGAUGGCCAGGCUGUCUCCACCCGAGACUCAGUGAAAUUGAACUCGCUGUGAAGAUGCAGUGUACCCGCGGCAAGACGGAAAGACCCCGUGAACCUUUACUAUAGCUUGACACUGAACAUUGAGCCUUGAUGUGUAGGAUAGGUGGGAGGCUUUGAAGUGUGGACGCCAGUCUGCAUGGAGCCGACCUUGAAAUACCACCCUUUAAUGUUUGAUGUUCUAACGUUGGCCCCUGAUCGGGGUUGCGGACAGUGUCUGGUGGGUAGUUUGACUGGGGCGGUCUCCUCCUAAAGAGUAACGGAGGAGCACGAAGGUUGGCUAAUCCUGGUCGGACAUCAGGAGGUUAGUGCAAUGGCAUAAGCCAGCUUGACUGCGAGCGUGACGGCGCGAGCAGGUGCGAAAGCAGGUCAUAGUGAUCCGGUGGUUCUGAAUGGAAGGGCCAUCGCUCAACGGAUAAAAGGUACUCCGGGGAUAACAGGCUGAUACCGCCCAAGAGUUCAUAUCGACGGCGGUGUUUGGCACCUCGAUGUCGGCUCAUCACAUCCUGGGGCUGAAGUAGGUCCCAAGGGUAUGGCUGUUCGCCAUUUAAAGUGGUACGCGAGCUGGGUUUAGAACGUCGUGAGACAGUUCGGUCCCUAUCUGCCGUGGGCGCUGGAGAACUGAGGGGGGCUGCUCCUAGUACGAGAGGACCGGAGUGGACGCAUCACUGGUGUUCGGGUUGUCAUGCCAAUGGCACUGCCCGGUAGCUAAAUGCGGAAGAGAUAAGUGCUGAAAGCAUCUAAGCACGAAACUUGCCCCGAGAUGAGUUCUCCCUGAGACUUUAAGUCUCCUGAAGGAACGUUGAAGACGACGACGUUGAUAGGCCGGGUGUGUAAGCGCAGCGAUGCGUUGAGCUAACCGGUACUAAUGAACCGUGAG